GGAUGAAAAUGGACAGCGGCAACAUGUGUGGCAGACAUCAUGGGCUAUUAGUACGCGAUUUGUUGGAGGUAUUAUCAUGACUCAUGGGGAUGAUACUGGCUUAAUGCUUCCACCUAAGCUGGCACCUGUACAGGUGUGGGCACUGUAAGAAGCCUGCUCCAGAGUACGAGAAGCUAAGUGCGAGUUUCAAGAAAGCUAAAUCUAUUUUGAUUGGAAAGGUGGACUGCAAUGAGCAUAAGAGCCUUUGUAGCAAAUAUGGUGUUUCUGGUUGCCCGACCGUCCAAUGGCUUCCAAAAGGUUCUUUGGAGCCCAAAAAAUAUGAAGGUGCACGAUCUGCAGAAGCCUUGCUAAGUUUGUGAACAGUGGAGAAGGUAAUGUUAUUGGCUAGCUGGCUUGUAUUUUGUGGUCCAUAAGUGUAAUCCAUGUUAACAAGUUUGGUAGAUUUACAUUAAACCAUAUUUGGGUAAAAGUGUUGAAUAAUCCACGAGGUUGUUAAAAUCCAAUCCAUACCACUAUUUCUUUAAUUCUUUCUUCUAUUUCGAUUUUUCCCUUACCAAAAGGUCUAUCUACAAUGGAUUAUUUCCGGUUAUGAUAGCACUGAAGGCUACGAUUAAGAGACAGGUUAGUUUUUGAUUUGCUUCUUAUGUGGUUUUAAUUCUUUUUUCUGUUACUAACCCUGAAUUGCUACCAGUGAUGACAAAGAAACUGUUCAGCGUAAUUUUAACGGUGGCCAAAGUAGCCAGCUUAAGAAGUUGUAUGAAUUCAGCCUUAUUCUUUUAACUCCGAUUAAAUAUCAGCACCUUGGCCAUGUGAUUUUCUUGUUUUAUUCUUUAUUGUUUGUUUCACGGGAUAGGUACCCCUCGAUUACCUUGAAGCUGGUGCUAAUAUCGUAAUAUCUGCAUCAUAUCAGCUUGGGAUUGCUAUGGUUGAACGGGCACUUAGGCACUCUUUUUGCAAUACCGACUAGAAUGCUUUAAGAUUGUAAGGUUGUGGUCUUCAGCUCAUUUUCUUUCUCUAUGCCUGAAGUUACAGCAAAAGUAGAGAGUUGAACAGUGUGAAAAUUCUACAGAACCUGCCUACUUUGCAACGGUUGCUAUAUGGUCUUAUUGGAUGUUGGGAAAUUUUCCUGCUAAUAAUUAGUCUACUUUUGAUCUUAUUAGUCAGUUAUUCUCUGUCCGUUUUCAUAGCUGCUCUUUUAAAGACUUCGGAAUGUCUAAGAGCCAUAGGCAAUUAACACUAAGAAACUUGUUAGAAUUCUUAGUUUUAUGGGGCAGCUAUUCACAAUUAUGUAAUUCAAUUUUUGGUACAUUUUGUCUUGGCACUUUUGCUUCUGUUUACGAGUUCAUAAUAUUUUUUUA